GCAAGUUGGUUCUCAAGUGUUUUUCAGAGCUUCACAGUUGUAUUUUGGAAAUCUUCUCCCCGUAGGAUUCUUUGAGUUUUCUCUCUAAUGUCGGAUGCAACGCCACUCAACAGACUACCCAGAGGUUUAUCAGCAUCCAAAGUUGAUGAAAGAAGAAGUAAAUUACACAAUGACAAGUUGAAAGAAGUCCAAGUUGAUGAAGCUUCAAAAA